AUGGUUAAGUUAGAAAGGGCGCACGGUGAAUGCCUUGGCACUAGGAGCCGAUGAAGGACGGGACUAACACCGAUAUGCUUCGGGGAGCUGUAAGUGAGCUUUGAUCCGGAGAUUUCCGAAUGGGGAAACCCACUGUUCGUAAUGGAACAGUAUCUUUAUCUGAAUACAUAGGAUAUUGAAGGCAGACCCGGGGAACUGAAACAUCUAAGUACCCGGAGGAAGAGAAAGCAAAUGCGAUUUCCUGAGUAGCGGCGAGCGAAACGGAAUUAGCCCAAACCAAGAGGCUUGCCUCUUGGGGUUGUAGGACACUCUAUACGGAGUUACAAAGGAACGAAGUAAAUGAAGCGACCUGGAAAGGUCCGUCGAAGAAGGUAACAACCCUGUAGUUGAAACUUCGUUCCCUCUUGAGUGGAUCCUGAGUACGGCGGAACACGUGAAAUUCCGUCGGAAGCUGGGAGGACCAUCUCCCAAGGCUAAAUACUACCUAGUGACCGAUAGUGAACCAGUACCGUGAGGGAAAGGUGAAAAGCACCCCGGAAGGGGAGUGAAAGAGAUCCUGAAACCGUGUGCCUACAAGUAGUCAGAGCCCGUUAACGGGUGAUGGCGUGCCUUUUGUAGAAUGAACCGGCGAGUUACGAUCCCAUGCAAGGUUAAGCUGAUAAGGCGGAGCCGUAGCGAAAGCGAGUCUGAAUAGGGCGUUUAGUAUGUGGUUGUAGACCCGAAACCAGGUGAUCUACCCAUGUCCAGGGUGAAGUUCAGGUAACACUGAAUGGAGGCCCGAACCCACGCACGUUGAAAAGUGCGGGGAUGAGGUGUGGGUAGCGGAGAAAUUCCAAUCGAACCUGGAGAUAGCUGGUUCUCUCCGAAAUAGCUUUAGGGCUAGCCUCAUGUUGUGAGAGUCUUGGAGGUAGAGCACUGAUUGGACUAGGGGCCCCCAACGGGUUACCGAAUUCAGUCAAACUCCGAAUGCCAAAGACUUAUCCAUGGGAGUCAGACUGCGAGUGAUAAGAUCCGUAGUCAAAAGGGAAACAGCCCAGACCACCAGCUAAGGUCCCCAAGUAUACGUUAAGUGGAAAAGGAUGUGGAGUUGCUUAGACAACCAGGAUGUUGGCUUAGAAGCAGCCACCAUUUAAAGAGUGCGUAAUAGCUCACUGGUCGAGUGACUCUGCGCCGAAAAUGUACCGGGGCUAAACGUAUCACCGAAGCUGUGGAUUGACAUCUUUGAUGUCAGUGGUAGGAGAGCGUUCUAAGUGCAGCGAAGUCAGACCGUAAGGACUGGUGGAGCGCUUAGAAGUGAGAAUGCCGGUAUGAGUAGCGAAAGACAAGUGAGAAUCUUGUCCACCGAAUGCCUAAGGUUUCCUGAGGAAGGCUCGUCCGCUCAGGGUUAGUCGGGACCUAAGCCGAGGCUGAAAAGCGUAGGCGAUGGCCAACAGGUUGAUAUUCCUGUACCACCUCCCCGCCGUUUGAGUAAUGGGGGGACGCAGUAGGAUAGGGUAAGCGCGCUGCUGGAUAUGCGCGUUCAAGCAGUUAGGCUGAUGAGUAGGCAAAUCCGCUCAUCAUAAAGGCUGAGCUGUGAUGACGAGGGAAUUAUAGUACCGAAGUUCCUGAUUCCACACUGCCAAGAAAAGCCUCUAGCGAGGCGGGAGGUGCCCGUACCGCAAACCGACACAGGUAGGCGAGGAGAGAAUCCUAAGGUGAUCGAGAGAACUCUCGUUAAGGAACUCGGCAAAAUGACCCCGUAACUUCGGGAGAAGGGGUGCUCUGGUAGGGUGUAUAGCCCGAGAGAGCCGCAGUGAAUAGGCCCAGGCGACUGUUUAGCAAAAACACAGGUCUCUGCGAAGCCGCAAGGCGAAGUAUAGGGGCUGACGCCUGCCCGGUGCUGGAAGGUUAAGAGGAGGGGUUAUCCUUUGGGAGAAGCUCUGAAUCGAAGCCCCAGUAAACGGCGGCCGUAACUAUAACGGUCCUAAGGUAGCGAAAUUCCUUGUCGGGUAAGUUCCGACCCGCACGAAAGGCGUAACGAUCUGGGCACUGUCUCAACGAGAGACUCGGUGAAAUUAUAGUACCUGUGAAGAUGCAGGUUACCCGCGACAGGACGGAAAGACCCCGUGGAGCUUUACUGUAGCCUGAUAUUGAAUUUUGGUACAGCUUGUACAGGAUAGGUAGGAGCCUGAGAAGCCGGAGCGCUAGCUUCGGUGGAGGCGUCGGUGGGAUACUACCCUGGCUGUAUUGAAAUUCUAACCCGCGGCCCUGAUCGGGCCGGGAGACAGUGUCAGGUGGGCAGUUUGACUGGGGCGGUCGCCUCCUAAAAUGUAACGGAGGCGCCCAAAGGUUCCCUCAGAAUGGUUGGAAAUCAUUCGUAGAGUGUAAAGGCACAAGGGAGCUUGACUGCGAGACCUACAAGUCGAGCAGGGACGAAAGUCGGGCUUAGUGAUCCGGUGGUUCCGCAUGGAAGGGCCAUCGCUCAACGGAUAAAAGCUACCCCGGGGAUAACAGGCUUAUCUCCCCCAAGAGUCCACAUCGACGGGGAGGUUUGGCACCUCGAUGUCGGCUCAUCGCAUCCUGGGGCUGUAGUCGGUCCCAAGGGUUGGGCUGUUCGCCCAUUAAAGCGGUACGCGAGCUGGGUUCAGAACGUCGUGAGACAGUUCGGUCCCUAUCCGUCGUGGGCGUAGGAAAUUUGAGAGGAGCUGUCCUUAGUACGAGAGGACCGGGAUGGACACACCGCUGGUGUACCAGUUGUCUUGCCAAAGGCAUCGCUGGGUAGCUAUGUGUGGACGGGAUAAGUGCUGAAAGCAUCUAAGCAUGAAGCCCCCCUCAAGAUGAGAUUUCCCAUAGCGCAAGCUAGUAAGAUCCCUGAAAGAUGAUCAGGUUGAUAGGUCAGAGGUGGAAGCGUGGCGACAUGUGUAGCUGACUGAUACUAAUCGAUCGAGGACUUAACCAGAC
rnacentral:rRNA from 1 species